rnacentral:tRNA from 1 species
GCCUGAGUUGCUCAGUCGGUUUAGCGUCUGACUUCGGCUCAGGUCAUAAUCUCAAAGUUCGUGGGUUUGAGCCCCACGUCAGGCU